rnacentral:rRNA from 1 species
UACAGAGGGUGCGAGCGUUGUCCGGAAUCACUGGGCGUAAAGGGCGCGUAGGCGGCCUGAUAAGUCGGGGGUGAAAUCCUGUGGCUUAACCACAGGGCUGCCUCCGAGACUGUCGGGCUCGAGCACAGUAGAGGCAGGUGGAAUUCCCGGUGUAGCGGUGGAAUUCGUAGAUAUCGGGAGGAACACCAGUGGCGAAGGCGGCCACCUGGAUGGAUACUGACGCUGAGACGCGAAAGCGUGGGGAGCAAACAGG